UUAAUUCGACUCAACACGGGAAACUCACGCGCCCGGAUAAGGAUUGACAGAUUGAAAGCUCUUCCUCGAUAUGGUGGUUGGUAGUGCAUGAUGGUUCGUAGUUAGAGGAGCAAUUUGUCUGGUUUAUUCCAAUAACGAGCAGAAAUAUUAAAUAAUAUCAGGCGGAUAUAUUCCAUGGGAAACGAU
rnacentral:ncRNA from 1 species